UAUACCACUUAUUACAGUUGGCUCUACAAUUUACUUAUCGUCUCCUGUCUACAAUGAUGUUCAUCACUGAUGGAAGUGAUCUUAUAGGCGUGACAAGAGUUCUGGAAAUAAAAUACAUGGUGAUAAUACGUUCAGCUUUCCGAGUGGUGGGCGCAUGGCCAUCCAAAUUCAUUGGCGAUGUACAGACUACGUCAGAUGUAGUGGUAAAAUACAUACAGCUGGUUUUAAACGUGGUUUGCCAAGUAGCAGGGAUCCUAUACCUGCGUGAAAACAUGGACAAACUAAGCUUUUUCGAGUUAGGCCAUAGUUAUAUUACCGUGCUCAUGUCCGUUGUGUCUAUGUCUCGAAUCAUAACUUAUUGUACAGAAGCCUAUCAAGAGAUCUUCAGUUUAUACGUGAGGAAAAUACAUUUAUUCAAUGUAAGGAACGAUUCCGAGUACGCUAUGGAGAUGCACACAAAAAUUAACAAAUUGUGUUACUUUCUUACAUUUUUCAUUCACGCCUUCAUGACAUUGGGCAUUUUAAUGUUCAACCUUAUACCUAUGUAUAGUAACUACAUCAGUGGGAAAUUUAACCGCGAAACUGGUGCGUUUAGUGGGGUAAGUAACGCUACCAUGGAACAUGCGGUGUAUUUCCUAUGGCCUUUCAACGACACCACCGACCCCAUAGGUUACGCCAUCAUCGUCGUCUUCAACUGGUACAUAUCCCUCGUUUGCUCCAUUAACUACUGCACAUUCGAUCUGUUCGUGUAUCAUCUGGUGUUUCACAUUUGGGGACAUCUAAAUAUUCUUAUUCACAACCUGGAAACCUUUCCUCGUCCGAUUGGAGCCAUAAAUGAAGAACAAAAUGAUUAUACAGAAGAAGAAUCGAAGCAAAUUUACGAACGAUUGAAGAAGCUGGUUCAACAUCAUAAUCUAAUUAUAGAUUUCAUUGCAAGGAUUUCCGAUACAUUUGGACUAUCGUUGUUCGUGUACCUGUGCUAUCAUCAGGUCUGCGGUUGUAUUCUGCUACUGGAAUGUUCUACGCUGGAACUAAGCGCUUUGAUCCGCUAUGGACCCCUGACUGCAAUCACAUUUCAACUACUAAUCCAAGUGUCCUUAGUCUUCGAACUGCUAGGAUCAAUAACUGAAAGCCUGAUGAACGCUGUGUACGAAUUGCCAUGGGAAUACAUGGAGGUCCGCCAUCGGAGGACAGUCCACAUCAUGCUGAGACAGUCUCAGGUCUCGCUGAACACCAGGGCGCUGAACAUGGUGGACAUCGGCUCGAGGACCAUGAUUGCUAUAAUAAAAACGUCGCUGUCAUACUUUGUUAUGCUGCGGACAUUUGCUACUGAUGAUUAAACUUAAUUAAUAAUUAUAAUUAAUUCUACGAGUAGUAAAAACCAGUCACUCUUAAAUAAUCACUACACAUAAUAACUAACGUCUGACAUAGUUGUAUCUCAAUCUCUGGGCCCUGGUCAUCAUUUAGCACCAAAGUGCUCGAGAAGUGGAAUCCAACGAACCCAAACUCAAUAAGUUUCCGCUGUUUCGUUUAGGGGUUCCUAUGGCCACCUCCUGACUCCAUCAUCAGACCAGCUCAAUGGGAACAGGCUGGCUUCCGCCCGAACCGCUCGUGUACCGACCAGAUCAAUACUUUGCGUAUCAUUUUGGAGCAGGCAUCAGAAUGGCAAAGGGAAGUCUACCUAACCUUUGUAGACUUUGAAAAAGCCUUUGAUACGCUGAAGUGGGCAAGUAUAUGGUCGCGACUUGCUGACAUUGGUGUCCCGCCGAAAAUCAUCGACCUAUAACUG